rnacentral:rRNA from 1 species
UACGGAGGGUGCAAGCGUUAUCCGGAUUCACUGGGUUUAAAGGGUGCGUAGGUGGACAGGAAAGUCCGUGGUGAAAUCCUGCAGCUUAACUGCAGAACUGCCGUGGAUACUUUUUGUCUUGAAUAUCGUGGAGGUGAGCGGAAUAUGUCAUGUAGCGGUGAAAUGCUUAGAUAUGACAUAGAACACCGAUUGCGAAGGCAGCUCACUACACGAAGAUUGACGCUGAGGCACGAAAGCGUGGGGAUCAAACAGG